rnacentral:lncRNA from 12 species
AUAUUACCUAGAGGUUUUAGCCUUGUUUGGAGACCGCUGCAAUGAGGUUUUUAGAGGCUACUGCCAAAAGACAGUGAAAGAGCUGCUGAUCCCUGGGUCUGAAAAUUUAUUUCCCUUUUCCUUCUCUUUCAGGGAACUGCUGCUACUUCUUUCAACCUGCUGAACUAUGUUCAAUCCAGCUGUGGCCAUGGGCUCUGAGAGAAUUGGCACACCAGAUGGGUGGCUACUGUGGUGACACAGAGAGAGACAUAUGAGCAAUACUCCAAAUGGAAUCCCUGGCAAGAAGGAAUUUUGAAGCCUGACGUGAGUUCAAGAAUAACCCCAGAAGAAAAAUUCUUCUUCCACCUUCCCUCCUGAAAAGUGAGCCGAGGUCAGUUGUCUCCAUUCCUGCUUUCCAUGGUCUUGUAUAAAACAAUCUGCAUGAAAACU